UACGUAGGGCGCAAGCGUUAUCCGGAAUUAUUGGGCGUAAAGAGCUCGUAGGCGGUUUGUCGCGUCUGCCGUGAAAGUCCGGGGCUCAACUCCGGGAUCUGCGGUGGGUACGGGGCAGACUAGAGUGAUGUAGGGGGAGACUGGAAUUCCUGGUGUAGCGGUGAAAUGCGCAGGAUAUCAGGAGGAACACCGAUGGCGAAGGCAGGUCUCUGGGCAUUAACUGACGCUGAGGAGCGAAAGCGUGGGGAGCGAACGG
rnacentral:rRNA from 1 species